rnacentral:lncRNA from 1 species
UCAGAUCCAAGAGCCAGGGAAGGAGGGGAGAGUGAAGAUCAACAUCAGGAAUAAAGAUCGACAUUGGGAUCUGCUGCCCUUAUGCAUCCCGCCGGCUAAGGCAGGUGCCUCACCUUGCCUCAUGGGUGAACCAGCCCUGGUAAUCUGUGACUGGCAGACCAGACUGAAAACAAGUGUUGGAACAGGGACUUCGGUCUUUGAAUCUAACUGCAUUGUUGCUUCACAUUUUUACAUUAAAAUAUCAAAAUAUUACAGCUCUGAAUUCACUUUUUUAAAAAAAAAUACUUAAACUUACAACCACAAUCAUUCAAAAUAUUUCAAGUUACAAGCACAAUCGUCAGCCAAUUUACAUUUAUAUCACAUUCUUUUCUUUUCUUUUUUGGACUGUCCCACUAAAAUUUUAUUUUUUAAAAAAAUAUAUUUUUAUUGCUCAAUUUCCACAUAACAAAUUAUCAAACCAUAUACAUUAUUCAACACUCCAUAAUUUCCCCCACCUAUCUAAAUGUAUUGGCUUGCCCAGAUCUUGUGACCACUUUAUCGUUGUUUCUUUUAUUACUUUAUCUUUCAGUUCUCAUUCAAGGAGUAGGUGGUACAUUUUCAAUAUAAUUUUUUUAUUUGACUGCAGUAGUUCACUUAUCAGUUUAGAAGUUUUCUGUUCAAAACCUGUUUUUUUAUCUUGGUUAAACAGGUGCACUAUUUGAUAAUAUUGUAACCAACUAUUGCAAUAGUCCUUAAUCUCUUCGUAUGGUUUUAGUUUUACAACUCCCUGCUCUUUUGUUCGUAAUGGUUGGUAUGUUGGCCAUUUCUUUUCCAUAUUUAUUCUUUUUACCACUAAUACCUCUAGUGGAGACACACACCAGGGUAUCUUUGGUUCCAGUAGCCAUCGAUAAUUUGCCCAUACUUUGUAUAAGGGCUUUCUGAUUAUAUGGUUUGAAUUCACUUUUUGAGCAUUUAAAAGUGCAGCCAGUCUUCAUGCAUGGCUUUGGAACAUGAGACUUCUCCGUGCAGCUAGGUUUUUUUUGGCCUGCUGAGGAGGUCUGAAUGGGAGAUUUAAGUAAAUUAACCUUUGUUGGUAUCUGAGAGGUUUGGGGUAUUUUUGACUGGAAAUCCAAACCAGCUUCAGCCUUAUCUCUGACCUGCAAUAUUAACAGUGUGCCACAUUGCAGAGUUGUAGUGUGCUGCACUCAGCCCAGCCUGCAAUGUGGGUGUUAAAGCAACGGACAACAUUGCAGGGUUGUUGUACAGUCCAGUAUCAGCUUCAGCCCAAUGUUCAGUUGGAGUCUAACACUGCUGAACAACGUUGGAGGGUUAUUAACCACUUAGCACCUGACCUGAAGUACUUCGUGUGAAAUACUUGCAAUAUGUGAACCUUGCAAUAUGGACAAUGAAGUAUACUUACUUUGGAAUUUAAGAGUCCUUACGGAAUUUAAAACAUUUUUAAAAUAACUGAGAAAAAGCAGGAACUCUGCUAGAAACUUUUGGGUUCGCCUGGGUACAUGUGUCUGGAAUCACUGGUACCCAAUACCACCCAAAGUUCAGUCAACAUUCUGCUUCCACUGUGCACUCUCAAUAUCCAUGCUGUUUGUCAGGUUUCUCCUUUCUUUACGGUUUCCCUCCCCCUUUCUAAAUAUAUUCUGUACUGCUGCAAACCUUGCUGUUGUUUAGUCGUUUAGUCAUGUCCGACUCUUCGUGACCCCAUGGACCAGAGCACGCUGGGCACUCCUGUCUUCCACUGCCUCCCGCAGUUUGGUUAGACUCAUGUUGGUAGCUUCGAGAACACUGUCCAACCGUCUCAUCCUUUGUCGUCCCCUUCUCCUAGUGCCCUCAGUCUUUCCCAGCAUCAGGGUCUUUUCCAGGGAGUCUUCUCAUGAUGGGGCCAAAGUAUUGGAGCCUCAGCUUCAGGAUCUGUCCUUCCAGUGAGCACUCAGGGCUAAUUUCCAUAAGAAUGUAUAGGUUUGAUCUUCUUGCAGUCCAUGGGAUUCUCAAAAGUCUCCUCCAGCACCAUAAUUCAAAAGCAUCAAUUCUUUGGCCAUCAGCCUUCUUUAUGGUCCAGCUCUCACUACCUUGAGAUUCCCUGAGAUUCCUUGAGAUUCCCCAAAUCUGCCAAGACCUUCUUGCAUAUGGGGGCUGCUGUUUUGACUAUGUCAGCAUGGGAACUCUCUCCUAAAGAUCAGGAAUAGAAUAGAAUAUUAUUAUUUAUCCCAUGACUGACUGAAGAGGUGGGGAAAAAACCAAACAUCCUAUUUCACCCAUGCCAAUAUAAUAAACACAAUAUUAAUUGUGUAGCAAUUGCAGAAUGUGCUCUCCGCAUCCCCUCACAGCAAUGAAAAUAAGUUCAGUUGACUCAUUCAUGGGUUGAAAGACCACAACUUUAUUGGUGUGAAUGGAAGCAGGCAAAGGACAGUUCCAGGAAAUGUUCACACUUCUCGUUUCUCUCUCCAGAUCUCUCUCUAGAUCUUUGUGGCUUGCAGUAUACAAAGAAGGUGGUAGAUGGGAAGAUGGGAAACAAUCCAAACCUCCACAAAGGGAUGCUACAGACAUGAGCAGGGAAGGAUUGUGUGCCUUAAAUGACUACCAGGCUCACAAAUGAAACCAUGUGUGAAUUUUCUCUUAACUCCUUAAUAUAUAGAUAGUACUUACAUACUAGUGACUUAUAAACUGUAAAAUGUGUCCA